GGUGAACGCUGGCGGUAGGCCUAACACAUGCAAGUCGAACGGCAGCACAGUAAGAGCUUGCUCUUACGGGUGGCGAGUGGCGGACGGGUGAGGAAUACAUCGGAAUCUACUUUUUCGUGGGGGAUAACGUAGGGAAACUUACGCUAAUACCGCAUACGACCUACGGGUGAAAGCAGGGGAUCUUCGGACCUUGCGCGAUUGAAUGAGCCGAUGUCGGAUUAGCUAGUUGGCGGGGUAAAGGCCCACCAAGGCGACGAUCCGUAGCUGGUCUGAGAGGAUGAUGAGCCACACUGGAACUGAGCCACGGUCCAGACUCCUACGGGAGGCAGCAGUGGGGAAUAUUGGACAAUGGGCGCAAGCCUGAUCCAGCCAUGCCGCGUGGGUGAAGAAGGCCUUCGGGUUGUAAAGCCCUUUUGUUGGGAAAGAAAAGCAGCAGGUUAAUACCCCGCUGUUCUGACGGUACCCAAAGAAUAAGCACCGGCUAACUUCGUG
rnacentral:rRNA from 1 species